rnacentral:lncRNA from 1 species
UGGGUGUGAAUUUUAGGACAAGUAUCCAAAAUAAAUUCAUAUCGUAAACGCAUAAUAAUAUGCUCUAUUCUGAAUCCGAUCUAAUAUAACCUUAAUAUAUAUCUUUCUUUCAAAAUUCUAAUUAUUUUAUAAUAUUUAUAUAUAUCCAAUCCGAUCCGACCCAAUUCACAUCUCUACUUGAGCCGACCUAAUCUGACCCA